GGAGGCAGCAGCGAUUUCAUGUGUGGGGAUUCUCAGCAGCAGUUUUUCAUUGUCUCUCCAGGUAAGCAGCAGACAGCGAGCAGACAGACUGAGAAUAGAGUCUUGUUCCACACUGGUCUUCAGAGGCAAAACCCUCAGCUUCUAUGGAUGGAAAGAGAGAGGCAGAAUGCAUAAUUUGCUGAAAACUAUCCUUUAAGCCUAAAAUCAACAUUACAAUGACUCUGGUUUGGGGAAUUGCUCUCACCCUGGCUGUGUCCAGAAGCUGGAGCAGCUCGUCUCUGCUCGAUGGGUUCAGGGAACAUGACACCCAUGUCAGGUGUCCCAGGAACUGUUGUCAUAGAUGAGUCUCUCUGGGUGGAUGAGGUAGUCUGGUGGAUAGAGGGGGACCGUGUGAAGGGGUCUACGGUACACGCUGCCUUUGUCCACCUGGCGCCGGCUAGAUUUAGGGAACACCAGACGCUUAAUCGGAGACACAAAUCCCUGAGAGAAGAGUUUGCAUGGGAGAAAACGAGAUAUAAAGUGAGAUAAAAGGGCAGGAUGGCACUGAUGCUGUGGCAAAUGGACAGUUAUCUGUGUGGGAAAUCCAUUGAGUGUCUGUUUAAGUUUGUCCUGCUGCCAGCGAGCUCCAGUCCUCUGAGACGACGCUUUGAACUGAGACGUGGCUCAGCACUGCAGUCUCUGGAAACACAGUCUCAGAAGAAUUGGUACCCGGGACACUGCAUAAUGCCAUAUAGGGUAAUUGAACCCUCUCUGGAACACAUUAUGAGACCUUUGGGUAAAUAAAUAAAUAAAUGUUUGUACUGUUUUUUUCCUACUUAAAAUGGAACACAGUCAAUAUAUGCAUUUUAAAUAUUUCGGAGGAAUUUUGUUGCCUUAAGCAAUCAGUAAAAAAUGAACACUGCCAGACUGUGCAUCACAUAUAAAAAAAAAAAUGCAUAAUUUUUUUUAAAUGAAAUUAAUAAUUUAAUUCAGCAAGGACACAUUAAAUUGAUUGAAAGUAACAGUGAAGGCAAUGUUACAAAAAAUAUAAAUAUAUUUCAAAUUAAUACUGUUCUUUUGAAGAACCUUGAAAUAUGAUGGUUUCCAAUAAAAUAUUAAGCAGCACAACUUUUUUCA